rnacentral:rRNA from 1 species
UCCGUAGGGGGCCCGCGUUAUCCGGCUUUACUGGGUGUAAAGUUAGCGUAGGCGGCAAUACAAGUCUGAUGUGAAAGCCCGGGGCUCAACCCCGGGACUGCAUUGGAAACUGUUUAGCUAGAGUGUCGGAGAGGUAAGUGGAAUUCCUAGUGUAGCGGUGAAAUGCGUAGAUAUUAGGAGGAACAUCAGUGGCGAAGGCGACUUACUGGACGAUAACUGACGCUGAGGCUCGAAAGCGUGGGGAGCAAACAGGAUUAGAUACCCUGGUAGUCCACGCUGUAAACGAUGAAUACUAGGUGUCGGGUGGCAAAGCCAUUCGGUGCCGCAGCUAACGCAAUAAGUAUUCCACCUGGGGAGUACGUUCGCAAGAAUGAA